rnacentral:rRNA from 1 species
AAUGAACGCUGGCGGCGUGCUUAACACAUGCAAGUCGAACGAGAACGGGAGUAGCUUGCUACUCUGUCAGCUAAGUGGCGCACGGGUGAGUAAUGUAUAGGUAACGUGCCCCGAAGAGCGGGAUAACGUCUGGAAACGGACGCUAAUACUGCAUAUUCCUUCUAACCACAAGGUUAGAAGGGAAAUGAAUUUCGCUUCGGGAUCGGCCUUUAUUGUAUCAGCUAGUUGGUGAGGUAAUGGCUCACCAAGGCUAUGACACAUAGCUGAUCUGAGAGGAUGAUCAGCCACACUGGUACUGAGACACGGACCAG